rnacentral:rRNA from 1 species
CGAACGGCAGCACGGGGGCAACCCUGGUGGCGAGUGGCGAACGGGUGAGGAAUGCACCGGAACGUAUCUUCAAGUGGGGGAUAACGCAUCGAAAGGUGUGCUAAUACCGCAUAAUCUCUGAGGAGAAAAGCAGGGGAUCGCAAGACCUUGCGCUUUUGGAGCGGCCGAUGCCUGAUUAACUUGUUGGUGAGGUAAAAGCUCACCAAGGCUCCGAUCAGUAGCUGGUCUGAGAGGACGACCAGCCACACUGGGACUGAGACACGGCCCAGACUCCUACGGGAGGCAGCGGUGGGGAAUUUUGGACAAUGGGGGCAACCCUGAUCCAGCCAUGCCGCGUGAGUGAAGAAGGCCUUCGGGUUGUAAAGCUCUUUCAGCCGGAACGAAACGGUCACGGUUAAUACCCGUGACUACUGACGGUACCGGAAGAAGAAGCACCGGCUAACUACGUGCCAGCAGCCGCGGUAAUACGUAGGGUGCGAGCGUUAAUCGGAAUUACUGGGCGUAAAGCGUGCGCAGGUGGUUUUGUAAGUCAGAUGUGAAAUCCCCGGGCUUAACCUGGGAACUGCGUUUGAAACUGCAAGGCUAGAGUGUGGCAGAGGGGGGUGGAAUUCCGCGUGUAGCAGUGAAAUGCGUAGAGAUGUGGAGGAACACCGAUGGCGAAGGCAGCCCCCUGGGUCAACACUGACGCUCAGGCACGAAAGCAUGGGGAGCAAACAGGAUUAGAUACCCUGGUAGUCCAUGCCCUAAACGAUGUCAACUAGUUGUCGGGUCUUAACGGGCUUGGUAACGUAGCUAACGCGUGAAGUUGACCGCCUGGGGAGUACGAUCGCAAGAUUAAAACUCAAAGGAA